AGCCGGAGAAUGGGGGCGGCGGGAGGCAGCGGCAGGGACAGUGACUCGCUGCGGGCGGCGGCCGCCCCACGGACUGCGUGACACGGCGAGAGAGGGGCAGCAACGAGCCUCACGCCGCCGCCGGGAGUCGCUUCUCCCGCCCAGCCGCCGCCGGAGGAAGAGGAGAGAAGCCGGCCUCGAGCGCCGCCCGCCGCUUUCCCUCCGCUGCGGAGGGUGUUUGGUUGGUGCAAUGGCCAGGCCGGUGCCGGAGACCCGGCAGUGACUCGGUGCCCGCCCAGAGCUGUCCUGAGCGGGGUGGGGGAGUCCGGGCCGCCGCGGGAAUCUCUCUCCCCCCGCCCCGGCCGCCGCUCCGCGCUGUUCAUGCCUUUGCAGCUGAGAGGUGCCCAGGGGCGGAGCAGCCUCAGCAGCGCCCAGUCGGGGAGCGUCCCCUCUGCUCCCCGCCCUGCGCCUGAGACAGGGCCCAGACCCGGCCGGGAGCACCCAGCUUCUCCGUAGCGCUAGGCCCCGGAGCGGAUACCGGGGCCGGCUUCAGCGUGAUAUCCUCCUGCCCGGCCGCUUGCCCAGCCCCGCGGGGAGGGGGAGCAUGAGCGCCCCUCAGACAGCGAAGAUGUCCGCUCCCCCCCCGCCUGCGCCCCUGGAGCCCGGGGAGGGGGUGACCACGAGCCGCCAGAGGAAGCUGGAGUCCAUGAUCCGAGACCCUCGGUCCCCAGUCAAUGUGGAAAGUUUGCUGGAUGGCCUGAAUUCUUUGGUCCUUGAUCUGGAUUUUCCAGCACUGAGGAAAAACAAGAACAUAGAUAAUUUCUUAAAUAGAUAUGAGAAAAUUGUGGAAAAAAUUCGAGCUUUACAAAUGAAAGCUGAAGACUAUGAUGUUGUUAAGGUGAUUGGAAGAGGUGCUUUUGGAGAAGUACAGUUGGUUCGCCAUAAAACGUCACAGAAGGCUUAUGCAAUGAAGCUUCUUAGUAAAUUUGAAAUGAUAAAAAGAUCGGAUUCAGCCUUUUUCUGGGAAGAAAGAGAUAUCAUGGCCUUUGCCAACAGUCCCUGGGUGGUUCAACUCUUUUGUGCCUUUCAAGAUGACCGAUACUUGUACAUGGUAAUGGAAUACAUGCCAGGUGGAGAUCUUGUAAACCUUAUGAGCAAUUAUGAUGUGCCUGAAAAAUGGGCCAAAUUUUACACAGCUGAAGUUGUCCUUGCUCUGGAUGCAAUUCACUCCAUGGGAUUGAUACACAGAGAUGUGAAGCCUGACAAUAUGCUUUUGGAUAAACAUGGGCAUCUAAAGUUGGCAGAUUUUGGCACCUGUAUGAAAAUGGAUGAAACUGGUAUGGUGCGCUGUGAUACAGCUGUUGGAACACCUGACUACAUAUCACCUGAAGUCUUGAAGUCACAAGGAGGUGAUGGCUGCUAUGGACGGGAAUGCGAUUGGUGGUCUGUAGGAGUUUUUCUCUUUGAGAUGCUUGUUGGGGACACUCCAUUUUAUGCAGACUCCUUGGUAGGAACGUAUAGUAAAAUCAUGGAUCACAAGAAUUCAUUAAGUUUCCCAGAUGAUGUGGAAAUCUCUAAGCAUGCAAAGAACCUCAUCUGUGGCUUUUUAACUGACAGGGAGGUGCGACUUGGGAGAAGUGGGGUAGAAGAAAUUAAACAGCACCCUUUCUUUAAGAGCGAUCAGUGGAACUGGGAUAACAUUCGAGAGACUGCUGCUCCUGUUGUACCUGAGCUUAGCAGUGACAUAGACAGCAGUAAUUUUGAUGACGUUGAGGAUGACAAAGGAGACGUGGAAACCUUUCCAAUCCCCAAAGCCUUUGUGGGAAACCAGCUGCCUUUUAUAGGAUUUACCUACUAUCGAGAGAAUCUGUUGCUAAGUGACUCUCCUCAGUCUUGCAGAGAAAAUGAAUCCAUGCAAUCCAGGAAAAAUGAGGACAGCAAAGAGUUUGCACAGUUUCAGAAAAAACUGAGCAAGUUAGAAGAACAACUCAAUAAUGAAAUACAAGCCAAAGAUGAACUAGAACAGAAGUGCAGGUCUGUUAAUGCUCGUUUAGAGAAGACCGUGAAAGAACUAGAUGAAGAGGUAACAUCAAGGAAGAAUGUAGAAUCUGCAUUAAGGCAAUUAGAAAGAGAGAAGGCUCUUCUUCUGCACAAAAAUGCAGAAUACCAGCGGAAAGCAGAACAUGAAGCAGAUAAAAAACGCAAUUUGGAAAAUGAUGUUAACAGUUUGAAAGACCAGCUUGAAGAUUUAAAAAGGAGAAAUCAGAACUCUCAGAUAUCAAAUGAGAAAAUUAAUCAGCUACAAAGACAGCUGGAUGAAGCCAAUGCUUUACUACGCACAGAGUCUGAUACUGCAGCCAGGUUAAGGAAGAAUCAGACCGAAAGUACAAAGCAAAUCCAGCAGUUGGAAGCUAAUAAUCGAGAAUUACAAGAUAAAAACUGCAUGCUAGAGAAUGCUAAACUCAAACUUGAGAAGGACUUCAUCAAUCUUCAGUCAGCCCUAGAAUCUGAAAGACGAGAUCGAAAUCAUGGGUCAGAGAUUAUCAGUGAUCUACAAGGUCGAAUAUCUAGCCUAGAAGAAGAAGUAAAAAAUGGAAAGAGUACAUUAGCCAAAGCAGAAGUGGAGAAGAGACAAUUACAAGAGAAGUUCACAGAUUUGGAAAAGGAGAAGAGCAACAUGGAAAUAGACAUGACAUAUAAACUCAAGGUUAUGCAGCAGAACCUGGAACAAGAAGAAGCUGAACAUAAAGCCACAAAAGCACGAUUAGCAGACAAAAAUAAAAUAUAUGAAUCUAUUGAAGAAGCCAAGUCUGAAGCCAUGAAAGAAAUGGAAAAGAAGCUGUUGGAGGAGAGAGCUUCAAAGCAAAAAGUAGAAAACGGCUUGUUAGAAAUUGAAAAGCGGUGUUCUAUGUUGGACUGUGAUCUCAAACAGUCUCAACAGAAAAUAAAUGAACUGCUUAAACAAAAGGAUAAACUAAAUGAAGAUGUUAAAAACUUGACAUUAAAAAUAGAACAGGAAACACAAAAGCGCUGCCUCACACAGAAUGACCUGAAGAUGCAAACACAACAAGUCAACACAUUGAAAAUGUCAGAGAAACAGCUAAAACAAGAGAAUAACCAUCUUCUGGAAAUGAAGCUGAGCUUGGAAAAGCAAAAUAAUGAACUCCGCAAAGAACGUCAGGAUGCAGAUGGACAAAUGAAAGAGCUACAAGACCAGCUUGAAGCUGAACAAUAUUUCUCAACUUUGUACAAGACCCAAGUUCGUGAGCUUAAAGAGGAAUGUGAAGAAAAGACUAAACUUUGUAAAGAAAUGCAGCAAAAGAUACAAGAAUUACAAGAUGAGAGAGACUCCUUGGCUGCACAACUUGAGAUAACUUUGACAAAAGCUGAUUCAGAGCAACUUGCUCGCUCCAUUGCUGAAGAACAGUACUCUGAUUUGGAAAAAGAGAAGAUCAUGAAAGAAUUGGAGAUUAAAGAGAUGAUGGCUAGACAUAAGCAAGAACUUACUGAGAAAGAUGCUACCAUAGGAUCUCUGGAGGAAGCCAAUAGGACACUAACUAGUGAUGUGGCUAAUCUUGCUAAUGAGAAAGAGGAACUGAAUAAUAAACUGAAAGAAGUCCAAGAACAAAUUGCAAGGCUAAAAGAGGAAGAAAUAAAUACAGCAAUUAUUAAAACUCAGUUUGAGAAGCAGUUGUUGAAUGAGAGAACACUGAAAAUCCAGGCGGUAAACAAGUUGGCUGAAAUCUUGAAUCGGAAAGAUCCAGUCAAACGUGGAGCUGACACUGAUGUGCGGAGGAAAGAAAAGGAGAAUAAGAAACUGCAUAUGGAACUGAAAUCUGAACGUGAAAAGUUAACCCAGAUGAUGAUUAAAUAUCAGAAGGAGAUCAAUGAAAUGCAGGCACAAAUAGCAGAGGAGAGCCAGAUACGAAUCGAACUGCAGAUGACACUUGACAGCAAGGAUAGCGACAUUGAACAACUUCGCUCACAGCUCCAGUCAAUACAUAUUGGCCUAGACUGCAGCAGCAUAGGCAGUGGACCUGGGGAUGUUGAGGCAGAUGAUGGAUUCCCUGUCCAUAUUACUCAAUCCCACACUAUGGAGUCCAUGUCUCUUACCUACCAGCAUUCUUCUACCUCUGUCAGUAUUGCCACUAAGCCUUCCAGUUCUCACAUGCUUCUCGACUCUGAUUCUGACUCAGAGGAAGAACCAUUGUCUUGUGUACACAUCCCUUCAGAACCUGAUAGCACAGAAUCGAGAUUAGAGGGUUGGUUAUCACUACCUGUCCGAAAUAACACUAAGAAAUUUGGAUGGGUGAAAAAGUAUGUAAUUGUAAGCAGUAAGAAGAUUCUGUUCUAUGAUAGUGAACAAGAUAAAGAACAUUCUAACCCCUACAUGGUGUUAGAUAUUGACAAAUUGUUCCACGUCCGGCCAGUCACACAGACCGAUGUCUACAGAGCAGAUUCCAAAGAGAUUCCUAGGAUAUUCCAGAUUCUGUAUGCUAAUGAAGGAGAAAGCAAGAAGGAACCAGAAUUUCCUGUGGAGCCUAUGGGGGAGAAAUCAAAUUACAUUUGCCACAAGGGACAUGAAUUUAUACCCACUCUGUAUCAUUUUCCAACCAACUGUGAGGCUUGUAUGAAGCCACUGUGGCACAUGUUUAAACCUCCUCCUGCUCUAGAGUGCCGCCGCUGCCAUAUCAAAUGUCACAAAGAUCACAUGGAUAAAAAGGAAGAGAUUAUAGCACCUUGCAAAGUAUAUUAUGAUAUUUCAACUGCAAAGAAUCUACUACUGUUAGCUAAUUCUACAGAGGAACAACAGAAAUGGGUGAGCCGACUGGUGAAAAAAAUUCCAAAAAAGCCUCCAGCACCCGACCCCUUUGCUCGAUCUUCUCCUCGAACUUCCAUGAAGGUACAGCCAAAUCAGUCUAUGAGACGGCCAAGCCGACAGCUUCCUCCAAACAAACCAAGAUUGCUUGAUUUGGCAUUUAAAGACUGGGAUUGGUCAUUUGAUGAUGAUGAUGAUAUUGAUGGUGAUGACGAUGUUUUUGAUUUCUGAAGAUGUAAAAGGAAUUCCCUCAGGAGAAUGCUCAACUAACUGAAUUAUUAGUAUCAGUAAAAGCUAACUGCCUUCUGUGAAUGCAGUCACUAUUCAAGGUGAUAAUUUUCUUCUCAUUAAAACAAGACUGAAACAUGAUAUCCCAAAAUUUAUUAAAAUAUAUAUAUUUUCCUGAGAGACUGUGCUAUAUAUAUCAGAGGUUUACAAUUUUUUGCUGCAAUAUAAAUUACUAAUCUCUGAGGAUUUUUUUUUUUAUAAUUCCUUGGGUUAACUGAUCAAAUGAGGACUGUUGGCAAUAGUAUAAGAAUACUUUAGGUAACCUUUAGAGUCUUGUUCCAAAAAAGUUUAUCUUGGCAAGACGCACACACUACAUUUCACAAAAGAACUGAGACGAGUGAAAAGUAAAACUGAAGAAAUCCAUCUUUCAACUUUGAUAGAGAGAUGCCACCAGCAUGUUUGCUGGAAAAGAAGGUGGGAAAGAUCCACCACAGUGGUAUAGACUGCAUCUUUAAGAAGUGACCAUUAUACUGUGUAUAUAUGUUGUACUGUAAUACCGCAAAAGGGUUUUAAAAAAACUUUCCACUUUAUUUUUUUAUGCAUAUUAAUCAGAUACCAUUACUUACUGCAGUUGCAACUAUGCACUUGUGUAAAGCCAUAAUGUUGAAGUUAAUAUCUUUCAUACAUGUUUAUCAAAAGCUGCAUGUCAUUGUUGAGCAGCUAGUAUAAUGAGAUGUUUGAAGUACAUACUCAUUUCAAUUAUUUCAUAAUGGGCAGUCCUGUUUUACCUAUCUGAAUGCCUUAAUUUAAUUUUUUCAAGGUCUAUGCCCAUUCUCUGUAUUUAAGGAAAAAAGAAUGUUUACCAGCUCUUAGGAUACAAAUUUGCUUUGUGGCAGAAAAAAUAGUGCACUAUUUUUACACACAAUUAUAUCAAUGUCAGCCUAUUUUGAAUGUAUAUUGAUUGGGUUUGGGGUGGGAGGGAAGUAUUGGUUACAGAAACAAUAACUGAUAGUAUUGAAACUAAUAUAACUUCCAUGUGUACAUGUAACUUUUCAUCCAGUCCUUUUUACAAACCUCAAUAUUAGUCAUUGACUUUAUAUUACCCUUAUUAAGUGCUAUGAAACUUCAUUUUGCCUUGUUUUGCGUACUCUCCUAGAUGUGUUUUUAUUUCUGGAAAAAAAAAAGUCUGUGGCUGUUUUUACAUUUUCACAGUACAAUAUCCAAGGACUGUCACAAACUUUAAAGAAAGCUAAAACAGACUAGAUGUAUUUUAAAUUUUUGAAUCCAGUUCUCUAGCACAUAGCCUAGGCAUAGAAAAAUAUUUCAGUAGUGUGUUUUGAGAACUUAUAGCUGGGAAUAAAGGGCCUCAGAGGCACUUAAUCUGAUUUUUUUUUUUUUUUUUUUUUAUCUUGGACUUGUACAAAAUUAUAAUUUAUGUGGGCUCGUUCAUGCUGUGUUCAUAAUUAUCCCAGAAAAUGCAUGUUUUAUACAACUACAGGAUGCUAUGUUAAACAUAUUGACAGUAAAACAAAAAAAAUAUUUAGCCUCCUA